rnacentral:tRNA from 1 species
ACCUGGGUGGCUCAGUUGGUUAAGCAUCCGACUUCAGCUCAGGUCAUGAUCUCAUGGUUCGUGAGUUCGAGUCCCACAUCAGGUU